ensembl:miRNA MIR15B microRNA mir-15b
UUGAGGCCUUAAAGUACUGUAGCAGCACAUCAUGGUUUACAUACUACAAUCAAGAUGCGAAUCAUUAUUUGCUGCUCUAGAAAUUUAAGGAAAUUCAU